CAGGACAGGGGGGCGGUCGCGCCCGGGAGCUGAACCUCCCGGGUGAGGAAAGUCCGGGCACCAUAGGGCAGGGUGCCAGCUAACGGCUGGGCGGGGUAACCCGACGGAAAGUGCCACAGAGAAAAGACCGCCAGCGGCCAGGCCAAGGCCUGGUGCGGGCAAGGGUGAAACGGUGGGGUAAGAGCCCACCGCGCCUCCUGGAAACAGGGGCGGCACGGCAAACCCCACCCGGUGCAAGGCCCAGUAGAGGGGAAGGGCUUGCCCGGCCCGCCACAACCCCUGGGAUGGGCCGCUUGAGGCCGGCGGCGACGCCGGU
rnacentral:RNase_P_RNA from 1 species